CCUACGGGGGACAGCAGUGAGGAAUAUUGGUCAAUGGACGAGAGUCUGAACCAGCCAAGUAGCGUGAAGGAUGACUGCCCUAUGGGUUGUAAACUUCUUUUAUAUGGGAAUAAAACAGGGUAUGCAUACCCUCUUGUAUGUACCAUAUGAAUAAGUAUCGGCUAACUCCGUGCCAGCAGCCGCGGUAAUACGGAGGAUCCGAGCGUUAUCCGGAUUUAUUGGGUUUAAAGGGAGCGUAGGUGGAUUGUUAAGUCAGUUGUGAAAGUUUGCGGCUCAACCGUAAAAUUGCAGUUGAAACUGGCAGUCGUGAGUACAGUAGAGGUGGGCGGAAUUCGUGGUGUAGCGGUGAAAUGCUUAGAUAUCACGAAGAACUCCGAUUGCGAAGGCAGCUCACUGGACUGCAACUGACACUGAUGCUCGAAAGUGUGGGUAUCAAACAGGAUUAGAUACCCUGGUAGUC
rnacentral:rRNA from 1 species